rnacentral:rRNA from 1 species
GACGAACGCUGGCGGCGCGCCUAACACAUGCAAGUCGAACGGAGCUGAGAGAAGCUUGCUUUUCUUAGCUUAGUGGCGAACGGGUGAGUAACGCGUGAGUAACCUGCCCUGGAGUGGGGGACAACAGUUGGAAACGACUGCUAAUACCGCAUAAGCCCACGAUCCGGCAUCGGAUUGAGGGAAAAGGAUUUAUUCGCUUCAGGAUGGACUCGCGUCCAAUUAGCUAGUUGGUGAGGUAACGGCCCACCAAGGCGACGAUUGGUAGCCGGACUGAGAGGUUGAACGGCCACAUUGGGACUGAGACACGGCCCAGACUCCUACGGGAGGCAGCAGUGGGGGAUAUUGCACAAUGGGGGAAACCCUGAUGCAGCGACGCCGCGUGGAGGAAGAAGGUUUUCGGAUUGUAAACUCCUGUCAUUAGGGACGAUAAUGACGGUACCUAACAAGAAAGCACCGGCUAACUACGUG